rnacentral:tRNA from 1 species
GGGCCCGUAGCUCAGCAGGAUUAGAGCGCCGGCCUCCGGAGCCGUAGGUCGCGGGUUCAAUUCCCGCCGGGCCCG